rnacentral:rRNA from 1 species
AGAGUUUGAUCCUGGCUCAGGACGAACGCUGGCGGCGGGCCUAACACAUGCAAGUCAAAGGAGAAUUUCGGAGCAAUCUGGAAGGACACUGGCGCACGGGUGAGUAACGCGUAGGUAACCUACCUUCUGCUGGGGGAUAACACCGGGAAACCGGUGCUAAUACCGCAUAAGGCAACAGUCACGCAUGUGGCAGUUGUUAAAGAAUUUCGGCAGAAGAUGGGCCUGCGUGUCAUUAGUUAGUUGGUAAGGUAAUGGCUUACCAAGACGAUGAUGACUAGGGGGUCUGAGAGGAUAAUCCCCCACACUGGAACUGAGACACGGUCCAGACUCCUACGGGAGGCAGCAGUGAGGAAUCUUGCGCAAUGGGGGAAACCCCGACGCAGCCACGCCGCGUGCCAGAUGAAGGCCCUACGGGUCGUAAAUGGCUUUUGGUCGGGAAGAUAAGCCGGGUUUCGACCUGGUGUGACGGUACCGACUGAAUAAGCACCGGCUAACUCCGUGCCAGCAGCCGCGGUAAUACGGAGGGUGCAAGCGUUGUCCGGAAUCAUUGGGUGUAAAGGGUGCGUAGGCGGAUGUCUAAGUCUGAGGUGAAAUCUUGCAGCUUAACUGUAAAAUUGCCUUGGAUACUGGAUGUCUUGAGUACAGAAGAGGAUGGUGGAAUUCGUAGUGUAGCGGUGAAAUGCAUAGAUAUUACGAAGAACAUCGGUGGCGAAAGCGGCCAUCUGGUCUGUUACUGACGCUGAGGCACGAAAGCGUGGGGAGCGAACAGGAUUAGAUACCCUGGUAGUCCACGCCGUAAACGAUGUGUGCUAGUUGUUGGCCUGUAUGGGCCAGUGACGUAGUUAACGCGCUAAGCACACCACCUGGGGAGUACGUUCGCAAGAUGAAACUCAAAGGAAUUGA